rnacentral:lncRNA from 1 species
AAAAACAAACAAAAAUACAGUAGAAAAGCCAAAAAUACUGUUAGAUUGCAUUUUCUAGGUUAAUUUUGAGUUCUAGGCAUUGCUUCUCAUCUCUUCUGGUUGCUGAAGUUUCAGAGAAUCACUGGGUUUGAUUUCGAGUGGGUUUUGGGUUCAAUCGAGUUGUUUUGGGUCAUUUUUUUGUGCUUUACCUCUGUAGUGUGGUUCUGGAUUUUGUGAAGCUGUUUUGGUUCAAAAAAUUGUU